rnacentral:tRNA from 1 species
AAAGAAUUAGUUUAAUCAAAACAUUAGUCUUCAAAACUAAAGAAAUUAAAAGUUUAGUAUUCUUUG